UGGAGAUCCCUGCCUACCUGGGGCCUCCCCAAGCGUUACAAGAGGCUAAGAGGAGGACUGAGGUGGUGAAUUCUUACACUACCUUCCUUUCAGUUCCUGUAUUACCUGAUGCAGAACUGAAUGAGUUUCCUGCCAGGAAGUUGAGUGUUCCUUCUUAAAUAAAGAAAGUAAGAGAUUUUGAAAUGUGGGCUGUGAUAAUGCUUCUGCUGUGUAGGAGGGAGGGGAUGUCCUCUUUUCCUUCAAGAACAUUCAGAGUUGGUUUGGCCAUAAUAACUCCCAUAAUACUAGUCACAGAAAAUACUUUUGAGGAUCCUUGUGACGAACAUCACAGAUUUCUAUUUCUGUGUGUAGAAUUAAACAUGGAAACUACACAUCUAUGAAGAAUAUUUUUAGUAUUUGAAUGGUUUUUGAAAAUACUGUUUUUUGAAUGCUAAGGGAGAAGUCAAGUAAGCAGUUUGCUGAUGCUGUGUGCUGUUACCUUUCAGUGAGACUGAAGAAACCAGGUUCAGAUAAGGGAGAACUCCAUCUGUUCUCUAUGCUGUCUGGGCAGAGAUAAGUUAGAUCCAAGAGCCUUUCGUUGAAACUGAAACUAUGCCCUCCAAAAAUAAAUGAGCCCUCUCUCAGAGCAGGUCAUUCUGAGUGUAGUGGUUUUGGAAUUGCAGUUGGUUUUCAUUCAUUUAAUCCAAAGUACAGAAGGAAUAGUGUGGGCUCUAUCUGCACACAUUGAUAUAUAUUUAAAUAUCUUUGCAACUUUAAAACUGUUUGUAGGUGUUUAGAAAGAAGUUCAUUUGUUUACCUUCAGUAAAAACACAAUUCUUCCCUUUUUGCAUGUUUGUCAAUUUUUCUUCUGUCUUGAAAUGAUACACUCUUUAAGUAACUGUUAUUUUUGUAUUUGUGCAACAAGUAUUGGCUUUGUUUUUGUCUGUUUUUGUUUUCUUUUUAUUCUCGAGUGUAACUGAUGGCUCAAGUGAGGAGAAAAAAACAGAUUUGUGACUUUGGAGGUGAGGGAGGGGAAAUAAAAAAAAGUCUCCUCUCCAACUCUGAUGCUACAAUAAAUAUUGCAGUUAUUCCAGUAAUCUCUUCCACUAUAGAUAGGUGAAAUUAGCGUUCAGUUUACUACUGUUCAGACAUUUGUCUUUAUAAUCAUCACAUCCUAAAGCAAUGGACAUUAAAAUCAAAAAUUUUCCAGACUGACAUGCUUUGGGAAAGGAAAAUCACAGCAUCUAAGUAGGUGAGGUUACCUUGUUCACUACUCUUCUGAAAUCUGCCAGAUAUUGGUACAAUCACUACUUGUGACUAUUGCUAUGUAAGUAAUUGGGUUGACAGCUAUUAAUGUGAAGGGAAAGCAUAAGUGAAGGAAAAAGAAUAGGAAGUAAGGUUGAAUUGUUUAAUGUACAAUCGUUAAAUGAUGAUUUAUUUAUUCUUAGAACUUUUGGUUAGGUCUUCAAUGUAACGUCAAAUAAAAACUGAUCAGUUACCAUAAAUGUCAGAGUGAAGAAAAUUACACCCAAAACAGAACUAAAAUCGUGUUGCCAUGAGGAAAAAAAUAUCAGCUGGUAGUAGCUGACAAAAGAACUUAUUUUAGUGCAAUAAAUAAGCUGGAGUCCUUUUCAGAGACUCUUCAUGUUUUAUAUUGAGUACUUGCUUUCAUUUGACUUGGUAAAGAAGAAGGUUGGUGUGUAAGUAGCACCCUGUGAAAUUACCGAGAAUAUACUGCCAGUCAGUGAAAACUGACAUAAUGCUACUGAUGUUAACAUAAAUAAAUAGUGAAACACUGAGGUGAUGACCUAUAACCAAAGUUUACUGAUUUGAGUUCCAGAUGAACUUACCUGCUUUCCAACCCUCCACCCUUCUCCCUCAUGCUGACCUUUUUUUUUUUCUUUGUUUUGGUUGAAGAAUAAUAUAUUUUAAAUAUACUAUAAAGCUACAGUAGAGUAGUCUAACUUUUUCUUUAGUUUCAUCCAAAUUCUAAUUUUGGUGGUCUAGAAAUAAAACUUGCAAAUACAGUUCUGUCACCUUAGUGUCUAUCUAAUUUGAAAAGUAGCCCCUAUUGUCUCCCCUGGGGUGUUAAACAGUAAAUGUUUAGUUUAGAUGUUGUACUAAGGGAAAUGAUUUAGAGGGGAAGUAUUGGUGGCAGGUUGGACUGGAUGAUCUUGGAGGUCAUUUCCAACAUUGAUUCUUUGAUUCUAUGAUUCUAAUACAGUAAUUUUAGUACACGCUU